GACGAACGCUGGCGGCGUGCUUAACACAUGCAAGUCGAACGGAAAGGCCCUGCUUUUGUGGGGUGCUCGAGUGGCGAACGGGUGAGUAACACGUGAGUAACCUGCCCUUGACUUUGGGAUAACUUCAGGAAACUGGGGCUAAUACCGGAUAGGAGCUCCUGCUGCAUGGUGGGGGUUGGAAAGUUUCGGCGGUUGGGGAUGGACUCGCGGCUUAUCAGCUUGUUGGUUGGGUAGUGGCUUACCAAGGCUUUGACGGGUAGCCGGCCUGAGAGGGUGACCGGCCAAAUUGGGACUGAGAUACGGCCCAGACUCCUACGGGAGGCAGCAGUGGGGAAUAUUGCACAAUGGGCGGAAGCCUGAUGCAGAAACGCCGCGUGCGGGAUGACGGCCUUCGGGUUGUAAACCGCUUUCGCCUGUGACGAAGCGUGAGUGACGGUAAUGGGUAAAGAAGCACCGGCUAACUACGUG
rnacentral:rRNA from 1 species